rnacentral:rRNA from 1 species
AGAGUUUGAUCCUGGCUCAGGACGAACGCUGGCGGCGUGCUUAACACAUGCAAGUCGAACGAAAAUACCAAGCUUGCUUGGUUGAUUAGUGGCGAACGGGUGAGUAACACGUGAGUAACCUGCCCCUUACUUUCCUGGAUAACUGCUCGAAAGGGUAGCUAAUACGGGAUAUUCUGACCAUCCUGCAUGGGUUGGUUUGGAAAGGUUAUUUUUUUUCUGGUAAGGGAUGGGCUCGCGGCCUAUCAGCUUGUUGGUGGGGUGAUGGCCUACCAAGGCUUUGACGGGUAGCCGGCCUGAGAGGGUGGACGGUCACACUGGGACUGAGAUACGGCCCAGACUCCUACGGGAGGCAGCAGUGGGGAAUAUUGCACAAUGGGCGCAAGCCUGAUGCAGCGACGCCGCGUGAGGGAUGAAGGCCUUCGGGUUGUAAACCUCUUUCGUCAGGGAACAAGGCACCGUCUUUUGGUGGUGUUGAGGGUACCUGGAUAAGAAGCGCCGGCUAACUACGUGCCAGCAGCCGCGGUAAUACGUAGGGCGCAAGCGUUGUCCGGAAUUAUUGGGCGUAAAGAGCUCGUAGGCGGCUGGUCGCGUCUGUCGUGAAAACUUCCGGCUCAACCGGGGGCUUGCGGUGGGUACGGGCCGGCUAGAGUGCGGUAGGGGUAACUGGAACUCCUGGUGUAGCGGUGGAAUGCGCAGAUAUCAGGAAGAACACCGAUGGCGAAGGCAGGUUACUGGGCCGUUACUGACGCUGAGGAGCGAAAGCGUGGGGAGCGAACAGGAUUAGAUACCCUGGUAGUCCACGCUGUAAACGUUGGGCACUAGGUGUGAGGCUCCUUUCCGGGGGUUUUGCGCCGUAGCUAACGCAUUAAGUGCCCCGCCUGGGGAGUACGGCCGCAAGGCUAAAACUCAAAGGAAUUGACGGGGGCCCGCACAAGCGGCGGAGCAUGCGGAUUAAUUCGAU